rnacentral:pre_miRNA from 1 species
UCAGGCCGUGACCCGCAAAACGGGGGCGCUGCCCGUGCCCUCCGGGGAAGUGCUUCCUUUUUGCGGGUCGCUGUGUGA